GAUGAACGCUAGCGAUAGGCCUUACACAUGCAAGUCGAGGGGCAGCACAUAAAUUGUAGCAAUACGAUUUUGGUGGCGACCGGCGCACGGGUGAGUAACGCGUAUGCAACCUACCUACUACUUUGGCAUAGCUCGUUGAAAGACGAAUUAAUACCUCAUAAAACAGGGGCUCCGCAUGGAGAUAUUUGUUAAAGAUUUAUCGGUAGUAGAUGGGGCAUGCGUUCCAUUAGUUAGUUGGCGAGGUAACGGCUCACCAAGACAACGAUGGAUAGGGGAACUGAGAGGUUUAUCCCCCACACUGGAACUGAGACACGGUCCAGACUCCUACGGGAGGCAGCAGUGAGGAAUAUUGGUCAAUGGAGGCAACUCUGAACCAGCCAAGUCGCGUGAAGGAUGACGGCCCUACGGGUUGUAAACUUCUUUUUUAAGGGAAUAAAGUGAGCCACGUGUGGCUUUUUGCAUGUACCUUACGAAUAAGGAUCGGCUAACUCCGUGCCCAGCAGCCGAC
rnacentral:rRNA from 1 species